UACAGAGGUGCAACGACGGUUAACUACGGAACUUAACGGGUAGGGACGGUAAAGCGCACGUAGGCGGUUUUUUAAGUCAGAUGUGAAAGCCCCCGGGCUCAACCUGGGAAUUGCAUUUGAAACUGGGGAACUAGAGUGUGUGAGAGGGGGGUAGAAUUCCAAGUGUAGCGGUGAAAUGCGUAGAGAUUUGGAGGAAUACCAGUGGCGAAGGCGGCCCCCCUGGCACAACACUGACGCUCAGGUGCGAAAGCGUGGGGAGCAAACAGGAUUAGAUACCCGCGUAGU
rnacentral:rRNA from 1 species